UGAGUUGCAAUGACCAACCUUUCUUCCUUUUCUCUAGGCUUACAACAAUGGAAAAGGCAUCAUUUCAUUUGAAGGGUGGAGCUAAGAAAGUGGUCAUAUCAGCUCCAUCAGCUGAUGCACCUAUGUUCAUUGUAGGAGUAAAUGAAAAGACUUACAAGCCUAGUAUGAACAUUGUUUCUAAUGCUAGCUGUACCACCAAUUGUCUUGCUCCUCUUGCCAAGGUUGUCCAUGAGAGAGUUUGGUAUUCUUGAAGGUCCUAUGAAACUGUGCAUGCAACUGCUGCAAUACAGAAGACUGUAGAUGGGCCCUCGAUGAAGGACUGG